GGGUGUGCAUGGUCAGAUCUGGUUGGUUUGGAGCUAAAUAGGAAAUCAAAACCGGUUCAAACCGGUUUUCUAACACUGAAAUUAAAAAGACCAUAUAUAUAUAUAUAUAUAAGAAUUUUUUUACAUACAUAUCCUCCUAAAUAUUAAAAUUUACAUGAAUAUCUUUUUAAAAUUGAUAUUUAUAUGUAUAUUCUUAUAAAAUAUUUAUUUCGUGUGUCUAUCCUUUUAUUU
rnacentral:lncRNA from 1 species